rnacentral:rRNA from 1 species
AGUGAACGCUGGCGGCAGGCCUAAUACAUGCAAGUCGAACGGCAGCACAGCAGAGCUUGCUCUGUGGGUGGCGAGUGGCGGACGGGUGAGGAAUACAUGGGAAUCUGCCCAGUCGUGGGGGAUAACGUAGGGAAACUUACGCUAAUACCGCAUGCGCCCUUCGGGGGAAAGCCGGGGACCUUCGGGCCUGGCGCGAUUGGAGGAGCCCAUGUCGGAUUAGCUAGUUGGCGGGGCAAUGGCCCACCAAGGCGACGAUCGGUAGCUGGUCUGAGAGGAUGAUCAGCCAAACUGGAACGAUGACACGGUCCAGACUCCUACGGGAGGCAGCAGUAUGGAAUAUUGGACAAUGGGCGCAAGCCUGAUCCAGACAUGCCGCGUGAGUGAAGAAGGCCCUCGGGUUGUAAAGCUCUUUUGUCCGGAAAGAAAAGCAUCCAGUUAAUACCUGGGUGUCCUGACGGUACCGGAAGAAUAAGCACCGGCUAACUUCGUGCCAGCCGCCGCGGUAAUAC